GUGCUCAUUUCAGCAUCAUAUACACUAUAUUUGGAACAAUUCAGAGAAGAUUAACAUGCCUUCUAUGCAAAGUUGAAACACCAAUUUAUAAAGUAUUUCAUAAUUCU